AGGGAAUUAGUCCAAUUAAAGACCUCUGAUUUCGGCUUAGAAGACUGUGGUUAAAAUCCACAACUCCCUU
rnacentral:tRNA from 1 species